GGGAAAGGGGAGGGUUGUGGGUGGGAAGGACGGUAUGGGGGGAAGCCAUUGUAAUCCAUAAGUCGUACUUUGGAAAUUUAUAUUCAUUAAAUAAAAGUUAAAAAAAAAAGUAGAAAUGCAACCAAAAAAAAAAAAUGUCCAUUCUCCCAAUAGCAAUUUAUACAUUCAAUGUGAUACCAAUUGAAAUACCAAAGACAUUCUUCUCAGAUCUGGAAAACAUGAUGCUGAAAUUCAUAUGGAGACACAGGAGACCUCAAAAGAUAAAGCAAUCUUGUACAACAAAAACAAAGCCGGAGACAUCACAAUACCAGAUUUCAGGACAUACUACAGGGCAGUUAUAAUCAAAACAGCAUGGUACUGGUACAGAAACAGAUGGAUAGACCAAUGGAACAGAAUAGAAACACCAGAAAUCAAUCCAAACAUCUAUAGCCAACUUAUAUUUGAUCCAGGAUCUAAAACCAAUUCCUGGAGCAAGGACAGUCUAUUCAACAAAUGGUGCUGGGAAAACUGGAUUUCCAUUAGCAGAAGCAUGAAGCAAGACCCAUACCUUACACCUUACAAAAAAAGCCACUUAACAUGGAUUAAAAAUCUAAAUCUACAACAUGACACCAUCUAAUCAUUAUGGAACACUGGAGAAACCCUGCAAGAUAUUGACACCAGCAAAGUCUUCUCGGGAAAGAACCCAGAAGCACAGGCAGUCAAAGCCAAAAUUAACAAUUGGCAUUAAAUCAAAUUGAGAAGUUUCUGUACUGCAAAAGAAAUAGUCAGUAAAGUGAAGAAGCAGCCAACAGAAAGAGAAAAAUUAUUUGCAAAUUAGGUAACCAAUAAAGGAUUAAUAACCAGAAUCUACAAAGUGAUCAAGAAACUCCACAACAACAAAACAAACAACCCACUUAAGAGAUGGGCCAAGGACCUCAAUAGAUAUUUUUCAAAAGAGAAAAUCUAAAUGGCCAACAGACACAUGAAAAAAUGUUCAGGAUCACUAGCAAUCAGGGAAAUGCAAAUCAAAAUACAAUGAGGUUUCACCACAUCCCGGUUAGAAUGGCUUACAUACAGAAAUCUACCAACAACAGAUGCUGGUGAGGAUGUGGGGGAAAGGGACACUAACCCACUGUUUGUGGGAAUGCAAACUGGUAACGCCACUAUGGAAGUAGUUUGGAUAUUCCUCAGAAACCUGAAUAUAGCCCUACCAUACAACCUAGCCUUCCCACUCCUUGGAAUUUACCCAAAGGAAGUUAAAUUGGCAAAUCAAAGAUUUGUGUGCACCUCAAUGUUUAUUGCACCUCAAUUCACAAUAGCUAAGACAUGGAAUCAACCUAAAUGCCCAUCAAUAGAAGACUGGAUAAAGAAAUUAUGGGAUAUGUACUCUAUAGAAUACUAUACAGCAGUAAAAAAUGAAAUCGGGUCAUUAGCCAGAAAAUGGAGGAAUCUGGAAAACAUGAUGUCCUGAUCAGCCCUUGUCCUGACUGUCAAGGAAUAACUUACUACAUUAUUUCUUUUAGUAUUUUUGUUCUACUUAAUACCAUUGGUUUUACUCUUUAAUUAACACACAAUUAUUCUUAGGUGUUUAAAUUUAACUGAAAAGUGAUCCCUGUUAAAUAUAAGAGUGGAAAUAAAAGAUGGGGGAGAUGUACAGUUCUGCACAUGCUCACUCAGACUUACCCCUAAUGGUAGAGCUAGAAAUGUGCCAGGUGAUUCCAAUUCAAUCCCAUCAAAUUGGCAUGUUACAAUGCCAUCUUACUUGUUAAAGUGAUCAGUUUAAGUUCAUAAUUGUUCAAAAAGAUAGGAUUGAGUAUCAAAGGGAUUACAUAAAUAAGACCAAAUAAUAAUUUAUAGAAUUAAAAAGUAGAGAAUGAUCCUGCAUGGGAAGAAGGAAACAUAGCAGAAUCAUAGAAUGUCAAAUGCCCUAAACAGCACUCCAGCCUCAGAAUCAGCCCUUAAAGCAUUUGGAUCUCGCUAAAAAGCCCAUGAGAGUUUCACAGGCAUGGAAAACCAAGAUACUGUGGAAAAAAAAUGACCUAAAUGAAAGAUCUCUGUGAGUGAGAUCCCAGAGGAAAUAAUGGGCCAUCAAAGAAGGAUGUACCUUUCUCUGAAGGGAGGAGAGAUCUUGCACUUUGAAUAUGGCCGUGUUUAAAUAAGACCAGAGUUGGUGAACUCAAGAGGCUUCCAUAGCCUUGGCAUCUCAUGGCAAGAGCUUCGGGUGAUUACUGAUGUCAUAAAUAAGAGUGUCAAUUAUUAAAUCAACAAUGAGAGUCACUGUUCACCUGCUCCCCGUGUAGGACCUCUUUCCUUAAUGUGUUAUACUAUGCAAAUUAACAGUAAAACUAGUACUCAAACUCUAUACUUUGUUUGUCUUUGUGGUGUAGCCUGUUGAAAUCUUUUUAGUCUAUACUAAGUUGAUCUUCUGUAUAUAAAGAUAAUUGAAAAUGAAUCUUAAUGAAGAAUGGGAUGGGAGAGGAAGUCAGAGAUAGGAUGGUUGCAGGUGGGAGGGAGUUUAUGGGGAGAAAAGCCACUAUAAUUCAAAAGUUGUACUUUGGAAAUUUAUGUUUAUUAAAUCAAAGUUUAAAAAACUGAAAAAAGCAAAUUAUAGAUUCAAUGAAAACUCAAUCAAAAUAUCAACAACAUUCUUCUCAGAUCUAGAAAAAAAUAUGCUAAAAUUAAAAUGGUAACACAAGAGAACCCAGAUAAUGCAAUCUUAAACAACAAACACGAAGCGAGAGGCAUCACAAUACCUGAUCUCAAGACAUACUACAGGCAUCUAUAAUCCAAACAGCCUGGUACUGGCACAAAAACAAAUGUGUAGACCAAUGGAACAGAAUAGAUAUUCCAAAAAUCAAUCAUGCACCCUCAUGAGAGAACCAGAAGCAGCUCUGGGCUCCCAGCCUCGGAUGGUCUCAGUUCUGAUCAUUGCUAUCCUUUGGGGAGUGAACGGGAGAACAGACGACACUUUCCUCUGCCUUUCCCCUUUUCUCUCUGUGGAAUUCGACCUCUCAAAUAAAUAAAAUUUUUAAAAAGAAAUGGGCAAAGGACCUGAACAGGCAUUUAGGCUUUUUUCAAAAUAGGAAAUUCAAUUGGACAACAGACACUUUAUAAAAUGCUCAGGAUCACUAACCAUUAGGGAAAUGAAAUAAAAACCCACAAUGAGGCUUCACCUCUCCCCGAUUAGAAUGGCUCUCAUACAGAAAUCAAUAAACAACAAAUUCUGGUAAAGAUGUAGGGAAAAGGGAAUAUUGUUGAUGGGAAUAUAAACUGAUGCAGCCACUGUGGAAGAUAGAAUGGAAAAAUCCAAAAAUAUACCUACUAUAUUACACAGCCAUCCAGUCCUGGGAAUUUACUCAAAGGAAAUGAAAUCAGCAUAUAAAGAGUGAUCUGUACCCCCAUGUUUUUUGCAACACAAUUCACAAUAGCUAAGAUAUGGAAUCAACCCAAAUGUCUGUCAACUGAAUACUGGAUAAAGAAAUUAUGGUGAGGCCAGCACCGUGGCUCACUUGGUUAAUCCUCCUCCACCUGCAGCACCGGCAUCACAUACGGGCGCCAGGUUCUAUUCCUGGUUGCUCCUCAUCCAGUCCAGCUCUGCUGUGGCCCGGGAAGGCAGUGGAGGAUGGCUCAGGUGCUUGGGCUCCUGCACCUGCAUGGGAGACCAGGAGGAAGCACCUGGAUCCUGACUUUGGAUUCGUGUAGCUCCAGCCAUGGCAGUCAUUUGGGGGGUGAACCAACGGAAGGAAGACAUUUCUCUGUCUCUCUCACUGUCUAACUCUAUCUGUCAAAUAAAAAAAGGAAUUAUGGUAUAUAUACACUAUUGAAUAGUACACAACAGUAAAAAAAUAUCCUGUCAUUUGCAACAAACUGUCCCAAAAAAAGACAAAUAAUAUGUUCUCUCUGGUCUGUGGUAACUAAUAUUGCACCUAAAAGGUCAUCUAUGGGAGUUAAAUGGAUACUUUGUGAUGCAAAGAGCCCUUGUCUCUUCUGUUGAGGAACAUUCUUUUUUGUUUGGUUGGGUUUUUUUUUUCUUCAUACUAUUUUUUGAACUAUUUACUUAAUGCAUGGUUAAUCUUAUGAGUAUAAAGUUAAUUGAAAAUAGAUCUUUGUGAAAAAAGAAAAAAUGGGAAUAGGAGAGGGAGGUGGCCAAAGGAUGGGAGUGUGGCUCAAAAGGAGGGAAAGUUGGGAAGAAUUACAAUAUUCCUAAAAUUGCAUAUAUGAAUGCAUGAAGUUUGUAUUCCAUAAAUAAAAUUUUUAAAAAAAGACAUGCUGAGCCAGCGCCGCGGCUCACUAGGCUAAUCCUCCGCCUAGCGGCGCCGGCACACCGGGUUCUAGUCCCGGUUGGGGCGCCGGAUUCUGUCCCGGUUGCCCCUCUUCCAGGCCAGCCCUCUGCUGUGGCCCGGGAGUGCAGUGGAGGAUGGCCCAGGUGCUUGGGCCCUGCACCCCAUGGGAGACCAGGAAAAGCACCUGGCUCCUGGCUCCUGCCAUCGGAUCAGCGCGGUGCGCCGGCCGCAGCGCGCCGGCCGCGGCGGCCAUUGGAGGGUGAACCAACGGCAAAGGAAGACCUUUCUCUCUGUCUCUCUCUCUCACUGUCCACUCUGCCUGUCAAAAAAAAAAAAAAAAGACAUGCUACAGGCUUUUGUGACCAUUUGGAGUGUGCACCAGCAGAAGUAAGAUGUCUACGUUUUUUUAAAAAGACAUACUAUAGGCAUAUAUAAUCAAACAGCUUAGUACUAGCACAAAAAUAGACAUUUAGACCAGUUAAACAAAACAGAAGCCUCAGAAAUUAAUCCAUGCAUCCAAAACCAAUUAAUCUUUGAAAAAUGAGCAAAAAAUCAAUCUCUAUAGAAAGGAUAGCAUCUUCAAUAAAUAGUGCUGGGGAAAAUUGGAUAUUCAUGUGCAGAAGUAUGAAACAAGACCUUUACGUUAAACCUUAUACAAAAAUCAAUUUAGGGGUCAGUGUUAUUGCAUAGCAGGUAAAAGCCACCGUUUGAGCACCAGCAUUUCAUAUUUGUGCCAGUUUGGUCCCAGCUGCUCGAAUACAAAUCCAGCUCCCUGCUCAUUUGCCUGGAAAAGUAGUGGAAGAUGGUUAAAGUAGUGGAAGAUGGUUGAAGUCCUUGGGCCCCUGUACCCACAUGGUAGACUCAGAAGCUCUUGGCUUUGAUCUGGCCUUGCCCUGGCUGUAGCAGAGCUAUUUGGAUAGUGAACAAGUGAGGGCACAAUCUCUCCCUCUGUCUCUCCAUCUUUCUCUGUGUAAUUCUGCCUUUCAAAUAAAUAAAAUAAAUCUUUAAGAAAAACUCAGCCCUAAGUGAAUUGAUCUAAAUCUAUGACAUGAUAUGAUCAAAUUACUAGAGGAAAACAUUGGUGAAAUUUUGUAAGACAUUGGAAUAAGUAAAUACUUCUUGGAAAAGACCCUAGAAGCAUGAAGCACAGGCAAUUAAAGCAAAAAUGUACAAAAGUGAUUACAUCAAGCUAAGAAGCUUCUGCAUUGCAAGAAAACACUUAACAAAUUGAAGAGGCAACCAACAGAAUGCAACAAAAUAUUUCUGAAAUCUAUAAAGAGCUCAAACUCAGUAACAACAAAACAAAUAUCUAGUUAAGAAAUGGGCAGAGGUCAUGAACAGGCAUUUUUCAUAGGAUACAAUUCAAAUUGCCAACAGACACAUGAAAAAAUGCUCAGCCAUAAAGGAAAUGAAAAUGAAAACCUCAAUGAGCUUUCAUCUCACCCCAGUUAGAAUGGCUAUCAUCCAAAAAUCAAAAAACAAUAAACGUUGGCGAGGAUGUUAGGGAAAAGUUACCCUACAACACUACUGGCAGAAAUGAAAGGUAGAACAGCCAUCGUGGAAGACAGUAUGGAGAUUUCUCAGAAAACUAAAAAUAGAUCUAUGAUAUGACCAGUCAUCCCACUCCUGGGAAUUUACCCAAGAAAACAAAAUCAACAUAAGAAGGAGUUGUCUGUACCCCCACGUUUAUUGGAGAGCAAUUAACAAUAGCAAAGAUGUGGAAUCAACCCAGAUGUCCAUCAAUCAAUGACUGGAUAAAGAAAUUGUGUUAUAUAUACUUUACAGAAUAGUACUCAGCUGUAAACAAGAAUGAAAUCUUGUUUUUUGAAACAAAAAGCAUGCUAUUGGAAAUCAUUACGCUUAGCGAAAUUAGCCAGUACCAAAAAGACAAAUAUCAUGUUUUCUCUAGUUUGUAGUAAUUAAUAUAAAGAACACAAAAAUGUAAUGUAUACAAAUGAAAUUGACAUUUUGAGAUUUGAUUAUUGUUUACAGCCCUUGUUUUCUACUUACUCCUUGUUAAAUUUUUUAUUUGGUGGAGGGUUAAUCUUGUAAUUAUAAAAUAAACUAUGUCUCUGUAAAAAUUAAGAGAAAAAAUAAGGAAGGGAGGAGGAGGGAGUGUAGGAGCAUGACCAGGAGGAAGGAUGAGUGGGAAAUAUUAUGCUCUUAAGUCUGUUACAUGAAAUACAUGAAAUUUGUUCACCUUAUGUAAAUUUAAUUAAUUUUUUAAAAAUUUUAUCCCAAACACUAAACAAAAGAAAAUUAGGAGGGUGAAAGGAAAAGAGGGAGGGGAAGGAAGAAGGAAAAAAAUAUCACUAUGUUCUUAAAACUGUACCUACAAAUCACACUGAAUUUGUUAAAAACCAGUUACAAAGUAAAAGAAAAACAUUUAAUAAUAAAGCUGUAAGAAAAGCUAUAGUAUACAUAAUAUUAUAAUCCUUAUUCAUAAAAAUAUAAAUGGGCUUCAAAAGUGUACCAUCAUGUGCAUGACAGCUAACAGGUUGCAUUUUCCUAGUUUUGUUUUUUUGAUUUUAUUAUUUUGUAAUUAGUGACAGUGUUCAGAGGUGGAGAGAGAAAAAAGCAAAAUUCCAGGGGCCAGCACUGUGGCCACCUAUGAUACCGGCAUCCCAGUGUCCCAGUUGCUCCACUUCUGAUCCAGCUCCCUGCUAAUGACCUGUGAAAAAGUAGUGUCAGGUGGCCCAAGUGUUUAGGUCCCUAUCACUCACAUGGGAGACUCAGAUUAAACCCCUGGAUUCUGGCUUUAGCCUAGCCCAGCCCAGGCAAUUGCAAUCCUUUGGGAAGCAAACAAGCAUAUGAAAAAUCUCUUUAACUCUGCAUUUAACUCUGCCUUUCAAAAUAAAUAAAUAAAUCUCUAAAAAAAUUCAGCACUGUAACAUCACUGAUGUGUUUACUAUUUUUAAAUUACAUGCAAGAAAUCUUAAAAAGCAAACCAGAUGUAAACUCUAAUUGGGUAAAUAUCUAAUAAUGAUUAAUAUCUAUUAUUAAAUUGCAGGAGGAGAUAAACUUAUGGUUUUAAAAUUAAAAAUGAGAAUAUUCCUCAAAGUAGCCUUAAGCAAAGGAACCACUGCAACAGGAUUUCAAAUAAGCUGUCUUAAGUUAUUUUCUCUAAUGGGCAGCUCAUUUGAACUGUGAAAGCUGCUACUACUUAAUCCACAGGUCACUUUUCCUCUCAGGAAGUGGCACUUUGCUGUUUGAAUCUGCUCCACUAGGCUUCUACAUUGUGUUUGGGUGAAUUGUAUUUUUCAUUAGAUUUUCCACUUCGUGGUUUCUGCAAAACACUUUGCUUCUCGUCCACUUUGUAUCUUGCCUGUGCUCAUUAGCACGAACAGCUGUGCAUUCAGAAAGGCAAGGUUGACCCUCAAGCCAAGCUAUCCAUUUGUUAAUUGUAGGACCAGUAAAACAUACAAAGGGAUAAACAAUUGAACCUACAGUUCUUCACUGCGCUUGAGGAUCAUGGAUGCAUUUGAAUUGUUUCUUAACCUGCCAACAUUUUGGAACAUCUUGCUCACUUUAUGUUGGUUAACUUUUGUGUUUAAAAUUUCUAAGCUCACCAUCACUUUAUAUUUUCAGAGUGUCAGGAAGCACAUGCUUGGUCUAUUGCCCUAAGUCACUGCUCAAAGGCAACUGGUUGAAAAGAAUUUGCAGCUAGAGCAAAGGUGACAAGUUGACCUUUCCUGACUGCAGAGACCUUUGUCAUAAUAAUCAGCUGCCUUCUGGCCUGCAAGAGAAUGAUUCUCUCUGCUUUCAUUUAUUGUUUCUAAUAUCAGCUCUGGGUCAUUAUAAAUACUAUUCCACAAGUCUGCAGAGAGCAAAACUUUGAGUGAUGAUGUCCUUGAAAUGCCCCAGACCUUAAUUUCAGCUGGAAAAUCAGGCAACAAGAUGUUUUCUUAUCUUUUGAAGGAAAUACUUACCAUGCUAUUUUAUGUUAGCCAAUAAAGUGUAUUUUCAGAUAAAGAUUCAUUAAUCCUUGUAUAUUUCCCAGCUAUUUACAUUUGUGAUGGAAUUUGCCUCAAAAGAGACAAAAGUUCACAUUGUAAAUAUUCCUCCAACUCUUCCCCAGAGGACCUGCAGCCAUUUACUAGAGUGUCUACACAAUGGAGAAAAGAAUUAUCAAAACGUUUGAGAGAUUACUAAACACUGGUUCUAAACUGACUAAUUUCUAGAAACUGAAUGUGCCACUGCAAGGUAUGCGGGAAAAAACGUUGUGAUGCAUUCACUUGAUCCAUGGGAUAUUUUAUAAUUAAAAUUAAUCAUGGUUGGGGGAAGGUAUGCAGGGCUCACAGUUGUCAGGUCCUAGAUGAAGCCUUACAUAAUUCCAAAUUAUAGUGGCACAGCUGGCCCAUGGACACAACUGGCAGUUAUUCACCAGGUUCUCAGUGUCUAACAGAUAUAAACACACUGGGCAAAUGGAAGAAUCCCUGUGGGAUUCGGGUCACUGAAACUUCCAUUCCCUACCAAGAUAGUAAACAUGGGAAUUUCAGAGAUCACUGCCACCAUAAGUCUUAAAGGGGGGUUGACAUUGUAGCAUAGCAGAUUACGUCACUGCCUCCAAUGCCAGCAUCCCACAUGGGCACCAGUUCGUAACCUGCUGCUCUGCUUCCAAUCCAACUCCCUGCUCAUGUACCUGGGAAAUCAGCAAAAGAUAGUCUAAGUGCUUGAGCCCCUGCCUCCCACAUGAGAGACCUGGGUAAAUACAUUCCUGGCUUCUGGAUUCAGCCCGGCCCAACCCUGGCCAUUGUGACCACUUGGAGAAUGAAAUAGUAGAUUAAGUAUUCUUUUCCCCACCCUCCUUGUAACUCUGCUUUUCAAAUAAUAAAUGUUUCUUUAAAAAAAAAAAACAUAAAGAAGGACUAUUUAAUCCACCAUUUAAUUAUCAAUCGGACCAUUUAAAUCACCAAUUGGCCCGUGCAGAGAGCAGGUGUAUUUUAGAGAAUGACUAUGGAUUAUAUAGUCUUAAUCAAAUGAUGACCACAAUAGCAGCUGAUGACUCCAGUAUACUAUGAUUGCUAGAGUAAAUAAACAUGGUAUGUAAGUAAUGCAAAUUACUUAAUGUUAAUUUGCAAUGACCACCAGAAGAAAUGUGCUUUCACUUUGCAGGGAAAACAGUACACCCCCCACAGCAGCAGAGUUCCACCUCUCUCUGCUAUUAAAAAAAAAAAAAAAAAAAAAACACGGAGAUGUUAAUACUCCACUAUGUUCACCCGGAUCCACAACACCGACAACAUUAUGCUUAUGAGCUCUAAGGAGCAGGAAGGGGUUUUCAUCCCUUCCAAGAUCCCCAUGGAUAAUGGUAGAAAUCUCUCAUCACCUGCACUGUCCCUGACUAGUUCUAAGAACUGCUACCCAGUUUUAUCACACAUCCCACGAGGCUUCCUUCUCUUUCUGACCUCAAUAAUUCUCCCCUACCACAGUUUCCUGCUAAUGUUCCUGGAAAAGCAGCAGAAGAUGCUCAAGUUUCUGGACUGCCGCCAUCCACGUGGAAGAACUGGAAGAAGUUCCUGGCUCCCAGCUUCAGCCUGGCCCAGCCCCAGACAUCACAGCCAUUUGGGGAGUGAACCAACAGAUAGAAGAUAUUCUUUAUCUUCCUUUUUCUAACUCUCCCUUUUAAAUAAAAUAAAUAAAUCUUAACAGUGCUUACCACAUAG